ACUUUUCAAAACGGAUGAAUAAAUUUGAUAUUAUUUUAGUUUUACAAAUGUUAAUGCCAUUGUAAAAUGUUUUACUUUCUUUUUGCAAAAGAUCGAAGAUGAUGAACUAUAUAACGAAUCAAAUCAAACAUGGUUUGCUCAGCUGUAAACGGAUGCUAAAUUUCAUCGAGGUAUGAUAAUUCAUGAAACAGUCGGCUACAUGUAUACCGGGUUUUCUUGUACAUGUAUCACAAUAGAAAGUUGUCCUUUUUCUUCCAGGACCAGCUCAACUUGUGAAAUAAUAAAUCGUUAAGAUCGCAAAUGCAUACAAAACAACAAAGAACAGAGAGAGAACAUGUCUAAUGUUAAAAAAGUAACGUUAUCAGCUAUAAUAUCAUGUUUUAACUAGAAAUAAUUACAAAAUAAAUGGUAGUUAGAGUGCAAAAGGUUAAAUACUGAAUGAAGUUUCAUAUGAUUUACGUUUUAUGUCAAAACGUAUUAUAACAUAAAAGAAGUAAUCUUGGAAAAAAAAGGCAAUUAAAAUCCUUUAUUUAAAUGCGCAAAGCUUAAAACACAAAUUAGAUGAUUUAAAAUUUUUAUUAGAUGCGCUUAAUUAUAUGGUACACAUAAUUGUUGUUACCGAAAAGUGGAUAUUAGAUUUAGAUUUAGUGGAUAUUAGUAAAUACAUACAUAUUACAAAUUGUAGUAAAAUUCUAUCAUGCACGAAAACAAGGGUCGGCUGUGCUGGUUGUCCAUGACAACUUGCGGUAUUCUGUGCAAGAUAUCUUUAAUGAUGAAUACGAUAGUAUUGUGAGCAUAUAUGUAUAUCAAGUUAGAAAAACGAUGUUUUACCAUUUCGACUAUAUACAGACAAAAUACAGACCUUCUAAAAAGUCUACAAACUGUGUUGAGAUAUUUUUUUCAAAAGGUGGAUUCACAUUUAGAGUACCCAAAAAACCAAAAUUCAAUUGUUUUAGGUGAUUUCAACUUUAACAUUAUUAAUGAUAUAGAUAGAAAUGUGCAAAAAUAAUUGUCUGUAGUAGAUUUCAAUGGUUUUGAUUUAUGUAGCAAAGAGAUAACUAAACCAAUUUCAAAUACUGGCCUUAACCAUAUAUUAGUGAAUGAUUCUAAUACUGAAGUACACAUUUCUCUUUUUUAUCAUCUUGGUAUGAUCGUGAAAAUUAAGAAUUUACAAAACAAAUAAUAAUAAAAGAGAUGAACAGCUGAUCAAAAAUAUUCAUUUGGAAUAUGUCAAAAAUGAGUUAAGUAAAUAUGCUGUCAUAAUAACAUAGUAGUUGAGGGAACAUCUAGCGUGAAAAGUAUGGUAAACAAAGCUACCGUUGUCAAAAAGAAUUUGUCAAAUGGAUAGAUGACGAGCGUGCUAAACUAAUUGAAAGAAAAAGUAACGUAUAAAUGCAGAAUGAAAGUUUUGAGUAUCUCAAAUCGAAGUACAAGUACUGGUUUAGAUAAUAGUAAAAGAAGAAAAAAUUGAAAAAUAUGAUUGUAAAAAUUUCAACAAGCUGAAGGCGACCCAAAAAAGAGUUAGAAUGCGGUUAAACAAAUAAUAAAUUGGUCAAACACAUGAAAAAAUGAUUUUUUCCCAAAUUUGAACAUCAAUGAAACAAAAAAACUUAAUAAAUUUUAUAACUUUAAUUCAUAAUAUUACAGGUACAGUUGAUGAAAAAAUGGCAAAAAAAUUUGACAGUAUAUACCAAACAUGGCCAAACUGCGGCUCUCGAAGAAAAAAUUAACAAAUAUUUUUAGUGCAGCUCAAGUCGAAAAAAAAUAUUCCCGAAAAAAGUUCUUUUUAUAGAAAUUUGACAGUAAAAUGCAGUAGAGUAUAUCUUUUCCCACACUUUUUAAUUUUGUCAACGCUUACUUAACAUAUGGAAAAAUAAUUUGUAUAUAUUGUCAAAGCUUAAAUUCUUAAUCACUCAACUUAGAUUUGCAGGGUCAGCAGAAAACUAUUUCUGAUCUCACGCAAACAAUCUUUAAUUUUCAAAAAAAAUGCUACUUUUUAAAAAUGAUAUAAUGACAAUGAAUUUCAAUCAUUUUCCGAGAUUGAAAGAAAAAGUCGGAAAUAGAAAAUUAAAAGCUUAAAGAAUAUGUGGAUAGAUUGCAGGAGUUGAUGGAGAAUUUUAAUUUACGAUUUCAAGAUUUAAAAAAAUUUAAAAUUUGUAUAAAUUUUCUUGUAAAUCCAUUUGACAUUGAUAUUAUUGGUGAAGACUUCAUAUUUCCACAAUAUUUACUGAGUAAGUUAAUUUCAAUGUUCGGCAUAACAUAUUGCUGCGAAUCAUUAUAUUUUACAAUCAAAUUUAUUAAGUCCAAGCACCGGUCGCAGCUAACAAAUGAACAUUUGACUGAGCUUAUACGUACGGCAUUCACAAAUUAUAAGCCAGAUUUUCAUAAAUUUGUAAUACACACCAAGCCACAUCAACCAGUAAAGACUAAGACAUUUUCAACCAGAUAUUACAUAAUUUAUAAUUUAUAUCAUUGCGGCUCGCAAAAAAUUCAAAAUUUUGAGUUUUGGCUCUUACCAUGACCAAGUCUGGCCACCCCUGGUAUAUACUUUCCGAAGAAUAGAACAGAAAAUGAAUUUAAAUUUAACUUAAUGAAUGAAUAUGAAACAAAAGAAAUUUUUGCUAAAUUCUCGAACUCAGAGGCAGUAGGCGCAGAUGAAAUUCUUUCUAAGCUAAUAAAAAGUGGUUUCAGAAAUACAAUGAAGAAUCGAUGAAAAAAAAUUGUUGCGAUUGUAUUUCUCGAUAGAAAAACUUGUAAAUAAUUUUAAAAAUAUUGUAUGAAUGUGCAGGGAGUUUGUUCGAAAGUUAUUUAAGCGAAAGAAUGCAAUGCGCGGAGUGUAACAAAAUUAAAAGUGAUCUACAUAAUGUACCACAACGAAUUUUUAAUACUAAACUAAGGAGCAUCUUGAAAAAACAUUGAAGCGAAAUUUUUUCUAGUUUUCUCUUUCUUUGCUGCAAGCAUUGUCAAAGUCGAAGGAGGAGCGUGUUUAUUUUAUUUUCUUGUCUGGUCUCUACUAUAUAAUAUGUGUAAUUUGUAAGAAGGAUAAGUUAAAAAAAUUUUUUUAAAGUAAAAACUAAAAAAUAUUUUAAAAUAUUAUUUCAUUACUUUUAGAUAUCUAAUCUGUGAAAAAAAAAACAAAUUUAAACAAAACUCAUUACUCUU